GGAGAUGUAGCUCAGCUGGGAGAGUGAUUGUCUGAUACACAUGAAGGACUGGGUUCAAUCCCCAAUAAAUCCA
rnacentral:tRNA from 1 species